rnacentral:rRNA from 1 species
GAGUUUGAUCCUGGCUCAGAGUGAACGCUGGCGGCAGGCCUAACACAUGCAAGUCGAACGGCAGCACAGAGGAGCUUGCUCCUUGGGUGGCGAGUGGCGGACGGGUGAGGAAUACGUCGGAAUCUGCCUAUUUGUGGGGGAUAACGUAGGGAAAUUUACGCUAAUACCGCAUACGACCUACGGGUGAAAGUGGGGGACCGCAAGGCCUCACGCAGAUAGAUGAGCCGACGUCGGAUUAGCUAGUUGGCGGGGUAAAGGCCCACCAAGGCGACGAUCCGUAGCUGGUCUGAGAGGAUGAUCAGCCACACUGGAACUGAGACACGGCCCAGACUCCUACGGGAGGCAGCAGUGGGGAAUCUUAGACAAUGGGGGAGACCCUGAUCUAGCCAUGCCGCGUGAGCGAUGAAGGCCUUAGGGUUGUAAAGCUCUUUCGCUGGGGAAGAUAAUGACGGUACCCAGUAAAGAAGCCCCGGCUAACUCCGUGCCAGCAGCCGCGGUAAUACGGAGGGGGCUAGCGUUGUUCGGAAUUACUGGGCGUAAAGCGCGCGUAGGCGGACUGGAAAGUUGGGGGUGAAAUCC